rnacentral:lncRNA from 1 species
GUGGUAGGAUAGAUUCAGGGUCAGAUGGAGGCAACUCACACCCAUUCCCUCUUCUGCGAUAUCCGAGAGAUUUCAAUAAGAUGCACAUUCUUGAUGGUCGAAUAUAUCUACUAUAAGAUGAAUUAUGCAGCAGAUUAGGUUGCUUUCUUCGUGGCUCAACACUCAGAGAACGUCCUGUGGAUCGAGACAAUGACUAUUAUUAUUAUUAUUCUUAAAAAUAUUUUAUUUUUUGAUUUUAUUGAAAUAUUCAUAGUAAACUAGUAUGAUCAGUUCAUUUCUAUUAAAAAAAAAACAUCAC